rnacentral:rRNA from 1 species
CAGCCGCCGCGGUAAUACCGGCGGCCCGAGUGGCGGUCACUAUUAUUGGGCUUAAAGCGUCCGUAGCCGGGUUGGGAAGUCCUCCGGGAAAUCUGGCCGCUUAACGGUCAGAAUGCCGGAGGAUACUCCCAGCCUAGGGAGCGGGAGAGGCCGAGGGGAUUCCCGGAGUAGGGGGGAAAUCCUAUAAACCCGGGAGGACCACCUGUGGCGAAGGCGCUCGGCUGGAACGCGUCCGACCGUGAGGGACGCAGGCCAGGGGAGCAAACCGGAUUAGAUACCCGGGUAGUCCUGGCGGUAAACGAUGCGGACUUUGUGUCGGACAAGCUAUGAGCUUGUCCGGUGCCGGAGGGAAACCGUUAAGUCCGCCGCCUGGGGAGUACGGCCGCAAGGCUGAAACUUAAAGAAUUGGCGGG